CCUACGGGGGGCUGCAGUGGGGAAUAUUGCACAAUGGGGGAAACCCUGAUGCAGCGACGCCGCGUGAGUGAAGAAGUAUUUCGGUACGUAAAGCUCUAUCAGCAGGGAAGAAAAUGACGGUACCUGACUAAGAAGCCCCGGCUAACUACGUGCCAGCAGCCGCGGUAAUACGUAGGGGGCAAGCGUUAUCCGGAUUUACUGGGUGUAAAGGGAGCGUAGACGGCAGCGCAAGUCUGGAGUGAAAUCCCAUGGCUUAACCAUGGAACUGCUUUGGAAACUGUGCAGCUAGAGUGCAGGAGAGGUAAGCGGAAUUCCUAGUGUAGCGGUGAAAUGCGUAGAUAUUAGGAGGAACACCAGUGGCGAAGGCGGCUUACUGGACUGUAACUGACGUUGAGGCUCGAAAGCGUGGGGAGCAAACAGGAGUAGAUACCCCGGUAGUC
rnacentral:rRNA from 1 species